UACGUAGGGUGCAAGCGUUGUCCGGAAUUAUUGGGCGUAAAGAGCUCGUAGGCGGUCUGUCGCGUCUGCUGUGAAAACUCAGGGCUUAACCCUGAGCUUGCAGUGGGUACGGGCAGACUAGAGUGCGGUAGGGGAGAUUGGAAUUCCUGGUGUAGCGGUGGAAUGCGCAGAUAUCAGGAGGAACACCAAUGGCGAAGGCAGCUCGCUGGGACGGUACUGACGCUGAGACGCGAAAGCGUGGGGAGCAAACAGG
rnacentral:rRNA from 1 species